rnacentral:misc_RNA from 1 species
AUGAGCAAUCUACGUGUGACGGUAUUUACGACCAUCUGGCAAUCAACGUACCUAUACAUGAAUGAGAUGUGCCAUCUGAGCGUAUCGGUAUCUUCGGCCAUCUGGGCAACCAUCGAACCACCGCCUUUCACGUGAAUGAUAAGACAAUAGUACAAGGACAAUGAGGUCGCAAGACGUUUUUUUUUGAAGAAAUGCCAAUCACCGCCCCUUUCGUUCUCCUCGUUGCCCUCGCACUAUUUUCCACCACCGAUUGCAAAAAAUGCGUGAAAGGUGACAACAACAAGAGUGUCCACUUGGAGGCCGGAUAUGACUACUGUUACUCAAGAUUGAAUAUCAAGACAAAUGUUAUGUCCUAUGGAGGAAUGACCGGACCAACAACCGUCUUCAAUGAGGACCCGAACCCGAGAAAUCUCAUUAAAACGUUCUGUUUUUUAAAUAUAGAAGCCGGAUCCGAUGAGCUAACCUGUUAUUGCAAACCAUCAAGAUGCAACCACAAAACCAAUCCUGAAGACUUCCUCUAUGACUCACUGGACCACAAAAAAUACUGA